rnacentral:rRNA from 1 species
GACGAACGCUGGCGGCGUGCUUAACACAUGCAAGUCGAACGGUGAAGCGCCUUCCUUUUUGGUGGGUGUGGAUGAGUGGCGAACGGGUGAGUAACACGUGAGUAACCUGCCCCCUUCUUCUGGAUAACCGCAUGAAAGUGUGGCUAAUACGGGAUAUUCUGGGCCGUUCGCUUAAGGGGUCGGGGAAGGUUAUGGUUUCGCUGGGGGAUGGGCUCGCGCCCUAUCAGCUUGUUGGUGGGGUGAUGGCCUACCAAGGCGGUGACGAGUAGCCGGCCUGAGAGGGUGGACGGUCACACUGGGACUGAGACACGGCCCAGACUCCUACGGGAGGCAGCAGUGGGGAAUAUUGCACAAUGGGCGCAAGCCUGAUGCAGCGACGCCGCGUGAGGGAUGGAGGCCUUCGGGUUGUGAACCUCUUUCGCCAGUGAAGCAGGCCUGCCUCGUUUGUGGGUGGGUUGACGGUAGCUGGAUAAGAAGCGCCGGCUAACUACGUG